GUGACCUCAAAUCAGGUAGGACUACCCGCUGAACUUAAGCAUAUCAAUAAGCGGAGGAAAAGAAACUAACAAGGAUUCCCCUAGUAACUGCGAGUGAAGCGGGAAAAGCUCAAAUUUAAAAUCUGUCAGUCUUUGGCUGUCCGAGUUGUAAUCUAGAGAAGUGUUAUCCGCGCUGGACCGUGUACAAGUCUCCUGGAAUGGAGCGUCAUAGAGGGUGAGAAUCCCGUCUUUGACACGGACUGCCAGGGCUUUGUGAUGCGCUCUCAAAGAGUCGAGUUGUUUGGGAAUGCAGCUCAAAAUGGGUGGUAAAUUCCAUCUAAAGCUAAAUAUUGGCGAGAGACCGAUAGCGAACAAGUACCGUGAGGGAAAGAUGAAAAGAACUUUGGAAAGAGAGUUAAACAGUACGUGAAAUUGCUGAAAGGGAAACGCUUGAAGUCAGUCGCGUUGUCCAGGGAUCAACCUUGCUUUUGCUUGGUGUACUUUCUGGUUGACGGGUCAGCAUCAAUUUUGAUCGUUGGAAAAAGGUCAGGGGAAUGUGGCAUCUUCGGAUGUGUUAUAGCCCUUGGUUGUAUACAAUGGUUGGGAUUGAGGAACUCAGUACUAUGUGCUUAGGAUGCUGGCAUAAUGGCUUUAAUCGACCCGUCUUGAAACACGGACCAAGGAGUCUAACAUGCCUGCGAGUGUUUGGGUGGAAAACCCGAGCGCGUAAUGAAAGUGAAAGUUGAGAUCCCUGUCGUGGGGAGCAUCGACGCCCGGACUAGACCUUUUGUGACGGUUCCGCGGUAGAGCAUGUAUGUUGGGACCCGAAAGAUGGUGAACUAUGCCUGAAUAGGGUGAAGCCAGAGGAAACUCUGGUGGAGGCUCGUAGCGAUUCUGACGUGCAAAUCGAUCGUCAAAUUUGGGUAUAGGGGCGAAAGACUAAUCGAACCAUCUAGUAGCUGGUUCCUGCCGA
rnacentral:rRNA from 2 species